rnacentral:rRNA from 1 species
AUUGAACGCUGGCGGCAUGCCUUACACAUGCAAGUCGAACGGUAACGCGGGGCAACCUGGCGACGAGUGGCGAACGGGUGAGUAAUACAUCGGAACGUGCCCAGUAGUGGGGGAUAGCCCGGCGAAAGCCGGAUUAAUACCGCAUACGACCUACGGGUGAAAGCGGGGGAUCGCAAGACCUCGCGCUAUUGGAGCGGCCGAUGUCAGAUUAGGUAGUUGGUGGGGUAAAGGCCUACCAAGCCUACGAUCUGUAGCUGGUCUGAGAGGACGACCAGCCACACUGGGACUGAGACACGGCCCAGACUCCUACGGGAGGCAGCAGUGGGGAAUUUUUGGACAAUGGGCGCAAGCCUGAUCCAGCCAUGCCGCGUGCGGGAAG